ACAUCUGUGUACCCUAACUCUGAUCCCCCUCUGAAUGCAUAUGUUAGGUUGAUGCAGACUCUUCUGCAGGUGCAAGGUGAAAUAUGACUCUCAGGAUGGGUACAUGGCAUCUGAAAUAAUUAACUGGGUAGUUAUUUUUGGGAGGAAGACAGGCAGGAAAGCUGGCAGGGGGACAGGGGAGGGAAGGAGGGAAGGAUAGAGGAAAUGGGUUUAGCCAGGGCUGGCUCCUAUGCCUCAUACACAUCUCAUGUUCUGCCUUCACUCACAUGCCCCUUGGGACUUAGAGGGACUAUCUGAAGAAGAGAAGUCACCAGGGCUAUCAUGAACCUGAGCAUAGCUGAGAGAUUCUUGCCAUAAAAGGAAGGAGGGAAACUAAAAUUUUUUAUGAACCUACUAUGUUCCGUUCUAAGUACUUCAACAUAUUUACUUUCCAUUGCAACCCUGAAAGGCAGAUUAAAACAACAACAAAACCUCCUUUUUAUAAGUGAGGAAAAGAGGCCUGGGAUAGUACACCUCUUGGGCACCAAGGAAUUCAAAUUAGGAUGCGAAUGUAGACCUUCUUUCAUGCAAUCCACUCUUUUUUUGCUGUUGUUAUUUACGCUUCAUCUGAAUAGUUGCUGUGUAAAUUACUCAACCAGACACUGAGGUACAGGAAUGAUGUGGCAUGGUGAGUGGCUUUCAAUAUGAGAGAAAGGAACAUAUCUAUAAAAUAAAUCAAUAAAUAAAGUGAUAAAGGGUAAACCACUUGCAAUGAAAAAGUCAACAUCUUCCAUCUGCCUACCCUACCUGAGGCAUAUACAUUAACUGAACAUCUACUAAGUGCCAAGUACUCCCUAGUGACUUUCUUGUGUUGAGACUUUUAGAUCCUACAGAACCCUGUGGAACCAUUAGUGUCCUAUGCAUCAAGCAGAAGGGAGUCCAAUUAAUAAAUCCAUGUUUCUUCAGCUGGUACAAAGAGGAAAUCUUAACCAAUAUUGCAGAAAUGCAUUCAAAAACUGACUCUAUGUUAGAAUGUUAGAUAUGUGUAUACAUUCUUUUUAUUUAGUCAGGGGUACACAGUUCAUUCAUAAAGGCCUAUAGACAGGGAAGUGGGACAAAACUUAGAUCAACAAGGCACAUUCAGUGUCUUCAAGGAGUUUAUAGUUAUGGAGGCUUUGGGCAGCAGGAGUGGAAGGAUGCAGCAAAUCCAGCCCCGUGUGAGCCCCAGUGUCCCUGCUUCAGCAUCCGUGCUAAAUGUCACCACCUCUGCCUGAACAAUCCUGGCACCUCAGUUUAACAUACAGUCCAAGAGUCACUAUUAGACACGUUUAGUGUGUCCAUGUCAAAUCUCCUUUAGCACCAUUUAUUUCUUCUGAAAAAAAGAGAAUGAGGUGAUAUUUUUACAAAUCUGUAUUUUGAAGCCCUGAGAAACAGACCCGAAGUACAAGCGAGCAAGCAGUACCCAUGAGGCAGGGAUUUUGAAACUGGAAGCCCUGUGUGAACCCAAUGAAAUAAGAGGGACAGAAUCCAACAGGGAGUGUUCACUCACUUGAUGAGGCAUGGACCGGAGAUGUGCAGCAGAAAUGUCAACGGUCAGAUUCACAGGGAGAAGACUGCCCUUGGCUCAGUACCUGGCUUCAUAAAUUAUUCAUAGCCUCUCGUCUUUUUCCUGUUUCUAAGGGCUGGUCACUGCAGAAUCAUAGUAUUGUAGUGUAUCAGUCAGCUUCUCUCUGUCUCUGUCUGUCUCUCUGGCUCUAUGUCUGUCUCUGUCUGAGUCUGUUUCUCUAAUGUCUGUGUGUGUGUGUCUGUCUGUCUGUCUCUCUCUCUCUCUGUCUCUGUCUCGCUCAGUUUCUCACUUAUAGGUACUAGAAUGGAUUCUGUGCUGUAGGGUUAUAAUUAACCUGGUAGAAUGUUCCUAAUGUGUUGCUGUUUUGUUUCAUCUCUUUUCUCUUUCUGUCAUUGUACUGCAAAUAAAAAAAAUACUAUUAAUAAUAGAUUUUUAUUUGUAAGUUCUAUAAAUGCCAUGAAAGUAACUAUUUUCCUGAGUAGAUGAUGUUGAUUAUGGCAAUCUGUGUCUUCCCUGGGUCUUUUUAAUUUUUUUUUUCCUGUGUUUUAGGGUUGUCCCCAAGGCAUAUGGAAGUUUCCAGGAUAGGGGUCGAAUCGGAGCUGCAGCUGCCAGCCUAUACCACAGCCAUAACAACAUGGGAUCGGAGCCGCAUCUGUGACCCACACAACAGCUCACAGAAACACCAGAUCCUUAACCCACUGAGCAAGGCCAGGGAUCGAACCCGCAUCCUCAUGUAUACUAGUUGGAUUCAUUUAUGCUGAGCCAUGGUGGAAAGAUCUUCCCUGGAUCUUGAGAAAAAUCCUGUCACUGUGGAAAGCAUGUAUUGGGCCACAUUCCCAAACCAGAGUGCUUAUUCUGGAGUCAACAUGAAGUGUGGAGUGUCCUAACCUUGGACCUGGCUAAGUUUAAGAAGCUCUUCUGUAGAGAUCAUUCCGAAGACUUGGUUUGUUAUGGAGGAAAGAUUCACAUAAAGCUACGGACAGUGCUCUCCACACAUCAUCCAGCAGAUACUGUUAUCUAAAAAGGACUCAGGAAUUUGCCUUUCAUUUUAAUGCCUCCAAGAGCCCCACAAAACUUUGUACCAAAGAUAUCACUUCAGCAGAUUUUCUACACUAUUAGACCAAGCAGAUCUUUAGAAAGAAACUCUGGCCUCUCCCUAAAAUAUAGUUCUAAAGCUAAAUUGGCACCUAUGGACUUAUGGUAGCCUAUAUGGUGGCCUCCAGUGGCCCCCAACUCCUCAUAUAUACACCUCUGGUAAAUGCCUUCCCUUGAGCCAUGGGCUGGACCUAAUGACUCACUUCUAAUGAAUAGCAUAUGGCAAAGGUGAUGAUGUCAUGUAACAAGGUUAUUGACACUUACUGGUUAUGGGUUCUUCCCUGGUGGUGGGGGGAGGGAGAGACGGAGGGAGGGAAGGAGGAAGGGGGAGAGAGAGGAGGAAAGAAAAAUAAAGGAAGGAAAGAAGGAAGAGAGAAAGAAAGAAAGAGAGGGAGGGAAAGAAAGAGAGCGAGGACACACCCAAUAUAGAAGCUACACAACACAUUGGAAGACACAGCCAUCACUUAUACCAUAGACUAUUCAUUGAAAGCAAGAUACUGUGUAGAGCCCACACUCAUCAGAAAAUAAAUAAGCCGGGCUUUUUGAAGGGUGAAAUGUCAAAGAAUUUCAUGAGUCUAAAAGUUACCCUAGCCCCCAUUUGACUAGGUUACAAUAAUAUUCUGCCGCUAUUUGGGCCAUGUUUCCUCUCCCAGGUUCACUCUUAGUCCAUGGAACUUACUUGGCUCCAUAGAAAGAGGGGAAAAAAGCCUCUAAUCUCUAAAACUACACUAAGCACAGCUAAUAUGAUGGCCAAAGCCUUUAAGGUGCCAUAAUCCACUUCUGCCUGCUCCCAUGUGUGGACCUCUGAGCAGUCACCAUGCAGGCAACUCCAGUGUCUAGUCGGACACUACCUUAAUCAUUCUCUGAGCUGCAUCUCCUUCCCAGAGGUCUACUGUUGAGCUAUUCAAGGGUCUCAUCUGCCUCAGCAUCAGCUAACCUGAAUACCUACCAGCCUGAGAAACACCCUUCCCUCCCUCUCUGGGACACCAGGCGCCAGAGCUUUGAUGAGUUUCUCUAUGCUCAGCCUCUCUAGAAACAAGAACCUGAGCAUCCUGGCUGCAUGCCUGGAAGAAAGAGAGAGAGAGGAAGGGCAUGUACCUGUCUCAAGUACUCUACCACGUUACAAAUGUUUUUAAGCUACCCUGAAAAGUGACACUCAGCAACACAGAAUGCUUUGUUGUAAGGAGUUGAAAAUAUUUAAAAGUGUUUAUUGUCCCUAUGGAUGAAGAAACUGUAUGGGAAAACUUAGACAGUUUGCUUUGAAGAUAAUGUUUUAGCAUUUGAAGCAGAAGAGGGUAUAUGCCGGCCUUACCGUGACCCUUUUCAGUAGCCAAGGUUUCCUCUCACCCACAGUGUUCCACAAAGCUUUAAUACGCGGCACAUGUACUCUAAAUUCAUUCUGAGUUCUUCCCUCUUUACACAAACUGUCACUUCAAUACCACCACUACACGUGGUCCAAGCAACUCUUUGGACAGAGCUCUGCUUUGGAGUAGAAAGCCCAUAAACCCAGAAUCAAGUGUAAUCAGAAUUAUUCUGUUACUUGACUAUGAGCAAACACAUUCUUAGCCCAUUUCCUCAGUGAGGUAAAAAAUCAAAACCUCCUCCAUCUGCUACAUCUUGGAAGCCCCCUUCUCUCCUCAUGCUGCUCCGAUCAAAACACAAACUUGGAAACUUUUCAUUCUCUACUUCUUCAAGCCCCCUUCAAGGAAGGUCAAGGGCACAUAGCAUCUAUUUCCAAGGGUUAAAAUGAUAUUUUAAAGGGCAAUUUUGCCAAUUAUUAUUUUAAAGUUCAUUCUUUCUUAGAGAAAUAUCAGUCUUGUACAGAAUUUCCUCUGGGAAAUGCAAACAUGGAGGAAGACUUUUUCUUCAACCCUGAAAGCUUCAAAUCAUUUUAAAAUAAAGAGUGAACAUGUGGUUUGUGAAUCGAGAGUUACUAGCCUGGGUUUGCCAUGGCUCACAUGAAUUUCAUGAACUUGAACUUUACUAGAAGCAGACAGUUCUUCCAGAUAUGAUCAGAUCUGAGCCUCAAAGCCAGGCUUCCAUAACUGACUCCUUGUAAACUAAUUUAGAAAUGCAAGAAGUUCUAUUGUGGUUCAGAUGGUUACUAACUCAACUAGUAUCCAUGAGGAUGCAGGUUCAAUCCCUGGCCAUACUCAGUGGAUUAAGGAUCCGGCGUCCGAAGCUGUGGGGUAGGUCACAGGUGCAGCUCAGAUCUUAUGCUGCUGUGGCCAUGGUGUCAGCCAGCAACUGCAGCUCUGAUUCAACCCCUAGCCUGGGAACUUCCAUAUUCUGCAGGUGCAGCCCU
rnacentral:lncRNA from 1 species